UACAGAGGUCCCAAGCGUUGUUCGGAUUCAUUGGGCGUAAAGAGCGUGUAGGCGGCUCGGUAAGUCCGCUGUGAAAGUCCAGGGCUCAACCCUGGAAUGCCGGUGGAAACUGUCGAGCUAGAGUCCGGAAGAGGCGAGUGGAAUUCCUGGUGUAGCGGUGAAAUGCGCAGAUAUCAGGAGGAACACCAAUGGCGAAGGCAGCUCGCUGGGACGGUACUGACGCUGAGACGCGAAAGCGUGGGGAGCAAACAGG
rnacentral:rRNA from 1 species